rnacentral:rRNA from 1 species
ACCUACGGGGGGCAGCAGUGAGGAAUAUUGGUCAAUGGGCGGGAGCCUGAACCAGCCAAGUCGCGUGAGGGAAGACGGUCCUAUGGAUUGUAAACCUCUUUAGGCGGGGAGCAAUGCCGGGCACGCGUGCCCGGAGGGAGAGUACCCGCAGAAUAAGCGUCGGCUAACUCCGUGCCAGCAGCCGCGGUAAUACGGAGGAUGCGAGCGUUAUCCGGCUUUAUUGGGUUUAAAGGGUGCGUAGUCGGAUUUUUA